UACGUAGGGGCUAGCGUUAUCCGGAAUUACUGGGCGUAAAGGGCGCGUAGGCGGCUUUAUAAGUCUGGAGUGAAAGUCCUCUUUUCUAAGGGAGGAAUUGCUUUGGAAACUAUAGAGCUUGAGUGCAGGAGAGGUUAUCGGAAUUCCCGGUGUAGCGGUGAAAUGCGUAGAUAUCGGGAGGAACAUCGGUGGCGAAGGCGGGUAACUGGACUGCAACUGACGCUGAGGCGCGAAAGUGUGGGGAGCAAACAGGAUUAGAUACCCUGGUAGUCCCUGAG
rnacentral:rRNA from 1 species